CGGGGGGAGCAAGCGUUGUUCGGAUUUACUGGGCGUAAAGGGCGCGUAGGCGGCCACCCCAAGUCGAUUGUGAAAUCUCCGGGCUUAACCCGGAAAGGUCAACCGAUACUGCGGGGCUAGAGUGCAGAAGGGGCAACCGGAAUUCUCGGUGUAGCGGUGAAAUGCGUAGAUAUCGAGAGGAACACCUGCGGCGAAGGCGGGUUGCUGGGCUGACACUGACGCUGAUGCGCGAAAGCUAGGGGGAGCGAACGGGAUUAGAUACCCCGGUAGUCCUAGCCUUAAACGAUGAAUGCUUGGUGUCUGGGGUUUUAUAGUCCCCGGGUGCCGUCGCUAACGCUUUAAGCAUUCCGCCUGGGGAUACGGUCGCAAGACUG
rnacentral:rRNA from 1 species